GCCAAAGAUAGUUUAAUGCAGCAAUACUUCAUAUAUCAGAUAGUUUGAGACUUUUUAAAAUUCAAAGAAUAUUCUCUAAAUUUUCCAAGUGAAAUAGUUCGCGAAUGAGCAAGCAAACAGAUACCGAUAUGGAAGAAGUAGCGUGAAUGGUUCAUUGAGGUUAGAAACGAGGCAUGGUUUGUUCAUUACUUCAUGAUGAUUAUUGUCAAACUCAACAUGAUCUUGUGAAAUCAUUGUGAGUAUCUCAAGCAGACAUUUCAAAAUCUUUGCUUAGGAAAAUUGCCUAUUAAACGAAUUGAAGUCGACAAGAUGUGGAAGUGCUUUACGUUAACACUAAUUUUUUGAAGGUCUUUUUCAUCCACAAGGUGAGCUUUUUGAACGACUCACACGCCGGUGGGGUUCUGCCAUAGCUCGAGUACUUUGCUUAAGUACUCGAGCUACCUAAUCUCUGACCAUUGCUGUCCCGGCAACAGCACCUGGAGACUUAAUCGGUAGAUCAAAACACGAAUCCAUCAUGGUAAAUCUGGUAUGAACAAAAUAAACCCUGAACAUACCCGGACAAGGAAGAACAAUUCAAUGGUAUCACUUGUAUUAGAUACCAUACGUCCACCACCAUUCAUCCGAGAACACUUCUCACUCGUCCGACAAACUCACUCCGUAUCGUAUACAAUUAACACCAACUCAUUUCCAGCGUUUAGUCAAACAGUCACUUCUCUCCGGGGUAUUACCGAAAUUAUUCCGUGCAUCAAUAUUUUAACCAACAGACGUGCACACCGAAGGGACCUCUCCAAUAACUGUGACAAUACAAAGUCCGAAACCCUGACCUGUGGACUACCGGUUUCCAUGGUACUAGAUUAUGUGGUUCGAUCCCAUAAUUCCAAGGAAAGACCGAGGAUACAUUUAAUCAUCAGUUUAUAGUCCCGGCAGACUAGAGGUACUGGUAGCACUUCUUCUCCCCAGGAUUGCAAUAACACCAAGAUGAGGGUCUUUCAUCAAGGUAACAUGCCUACCGAGGGGAAAGCCUACAGUCCUCGUAAGACGAUGUUGCAUGUUUAUUAUAGAUAACGAUAACCCGAAUCGUAAGAGAUCGUAUGUCAAGAACGGCCUAAAAACCGAUUCAGCACCAAAGCGAAAUAUCUAUGGCGCAAAGGUAAUGUCCUGUAUUUGUUGGGACCAAAAGACUUCUAUCUAUUAUAAGCAGCCGAAUUGUUUAAAGCGAAUACCCAUAUGUUGAUAUACCAGUUAAAAACUAUACCCGCCUUAUAACUAGACGUUACCUCAACCGACUACUAUUUAUAUCUAUCGAUGCAGAAUGCUCUGUCUGUUUUUAAGCCUCAAAAGAUGAACAAUCCUUUUGGUUUGGAAUCGAUAUGUGGCAAGAAAGAUGGGGAAAGAUCAUAGCUAACCAUGACUUAUAUAUAUAUAUAUAUACAUAUGUAUACCAAUGUAUAUCAAAAGUAUAUCAAUAAGCUUUCUAAUAAAAUAUAAUCAUUAAACAUUUGACCACCAAAUAAUAGACGGGGUUUUCGAAAUCUUGACCCAUAUUUUGCAAAUUAUUUUAAAUUACAAUUAGACAAUUUGUCGCAGACUUAUUUAUUAUCAAAUUUUUACUUCCUUAAAAUUAUG